rnacentral:rRNA from 1 species
GCGGAGGGAUCAUUAAAGAGUUCUAUAACUCCCAAACCCAUGUGAACAUACCAAACGUUGCCUCGGCAGGUCGCACCUACCUUGUAGCACCCUAUCCUGUAGGGCCUACCCGGGACGUGCGGGUAAGCCUGCCGGCGGCCCAUUAAACUCUGUUUGAUAUUGAAUUCUGAACCUAUAACUAAAUAAGUUAAAACUUUCAACAACGGAUCUCUUGGUUCUGGCAUCGAUGAAGAACGCAGCGAAAUGCGAUAAGUAAUGUGAAUUGCAGAAUUCAGUGAAUCAUCGAAUCUUUGAACGCAUAUUGCGCCCAUUAGUAUUCUAGUGGGCAGGACCGUUCGAGCGUCAUUUCGACCCUUAAGCCUUAGUUGCUUAGUGUUGGGAGCCUACGGCGACGUAGCUCCUCAAAGUUAGUGGCGGAGUUGGUUCACACUCUAGACGUAGUAAUUUUUUAUCUCGCCUAUUAGUUGGACCGAUCCCCUGCCGUAAAACCCCCAACUUCUCAAGGUUGACCUCGAAUCGGUUCAGACAAACUCGCUAAAUUGAAGCAUCUUAGUCAGCGAAGGAAAAGAAACCAACAGGGAUUGCCCUAGUAACGGCGAGUGAAGCGGCAACAGCUCAAAUUUGAAAUCUGGCCCUCGGGUCCGAGUUGUAAUUUGUAGAGGAUGCUUUUGGCGCGGUGCCUUCCGAGUUCCCUGGAACGGGACGCCUUAGAGGGUGAGAGCCCCGUACGGUUGGACACCAAGCCUCUGUAAAGCUCCUUCGACGAGUCGAGUAGCUUGGGAAUGCUGCUCUAAAUGGGAGGUAAAUUUCUUCUAAAGCUAAAUAUUG